rnacentral:lncRNA from 1 species
UUCCUUAUAUGCCAAAUAUUGCAUUUGGUCUUGAAAAGAAAAAAAAAAAAAAACUCAUUUUCCUUCAUCUUUUUCCCUUCCCCCGUCAAUAUCUCCUUCUCCCUCCCUUAACCUCCCAUUUCGGCAGCCACUCGACAUCUGAUUACAGCCAAAAUAGGUCCUUAGUGUUGUCGUCAUCGUGCCACCACCAAGCUCGCCUGAAAAGGCCAAGAAAUGGCAGAAUGAGGAGAAGGAAGCCGCCACUUGCUAUCGCCUCUGGUACAAUUACUUGCUGGUGUUUUCUAGCCAAACCAAUGCUAGAAGCAACUUCCUCGGACCUUAAACCUGAAUUGGGACUGUUAUAACCCCUAACGUCUCCUAUAAACUAGUGACCAGAGCUGGUGUAGCUUCGCCGCACUUGCUUGAUUUUUAGGAUUUUUGGUGAUUGUGUGGUGAAAAUAAUUGUAUAUUUGGACUCCUUGCAUCUCGAUCUACAAGUGGGUGCCUUCGGAUUCAAUUUCCGAGACUGUUAGAAAUUCCAACAAUUGGACCUUAGUGUUUUCAGGAUGUGCGUGACAGCGGAUAUUCGUCUCGGUAUAACUUUUCUGAACCUUAAAAAUUUAAUUUAUAUUAUUGGUAAUUAUUUAACUUAUUAUUUAUUAAUUAAUUAUAAAUAAUUAAUAGUUUAAUUAUAUAUUAUUGUGGGUGAAACUUUUAUAAGUUAAUUAUUAAUUGAUAAAUGUGAUAGAUAAUUGAUUGUGAAUAAAUUUAGUUUCUUAUUGGGAGUUUUUGUAAACUAAUCGUGAAUUGAGAUUAGUAAACCGAUUAAUGCAUUAUUAUUUAUUUGCAUUUUGAUGUGUUGUUGAGUCAAGAAAAUAUUGUAAAUGGGAGUGACUUGACUCUAGUUAAAUAUUAAUAAUUAUUUAAAUGCGAGUGUCUUGUCAAAUUUUGGUAAAAUUUUCAAAUCAAGAUUAGUCGAGAUUUUAAGCAGUCUACUUCUUGAAAGUCUAGGAUUAGGAUUGUUGUAGAAUUUUAUAUUAGUUAAAUUAUUUAUGUAAAUGGAUAUUCAACCAGCUUUGUUGGAGUUAUAAGAGCAGCUAAAGAUUUCAUUAGAAUUGUGUGUUAAUGUUAUAUAACUAACCGUAUUUAUAUCAUAUCAAUAUUUAAUUUAAAUAUUAUUAAAGUUAUUAUUAUUAUCAUUAUUAUCGAUAUGAUUACUAUUAUCUUUAUUAUUAUUAUUAUUACUAUUUGUUAUUAUUGCAUUUCAAUUACUAUUUCUGUAUUAACUCAUGUUAUUAAAUUUAAUAUUUUAAUAUUAAAUUAGAUAAUAUUAUUUUUAUCUUAUUCGUAUUAUUAUUAUUGCUAUUAAAUUUUAAUUUUAUUUGGAAUGUGGAUGAUAGUAAAACGUGUCAUUUGAUGGGUUGCAUCACAACUGCGUGUGCAUCGGUAAAAAUCAGAGACAUGAAUCAAAAGGUUAUGUAUGAUAUGCCCUGGUCGAGCAUGACUCUAUGGGCUUACAAGAUUUAGAAACUAAUAGAGGAAAGGUCCAUACUCGAACUUAGCUCUCUAGUCACCGACUGAGUUGGAAAUUAAACUAGAUUUAAGAACUAUGAUUGAGCUUUGCUCUUCGGGCGCCAGUCUUAUUGGAUAUAAGAGAGCUUAUUAGGUAAUAUAAUUGGAGUCUAGAGUUCUGCUAAUAUUCUCGUCCUACUUUUAUUAAAAUUGAAUUUUUCUAAAUUAAUAACAUGACGCGUGAUUAUCAAUUAUCGAAAAUAUAUAUUUAUUUAUUCAUUUGUUUAUUUAUUAUGAGAUUGUUUAAUUUGGAGGCAAUAUUUAUUUUUGGAUUAUAUGAUUUUGACUUACUCUCAAGACUAACAGUCUUAAAUUUAUUUUUUAGGUGAUAGUUAGGACUUUCUGUUGCUUCAUUAUUUUGCCAGCCCGAUUUCUUCCAUCUUCGGGUUCAAUGUAAUUGCUUUCACUAUAUUUUUGCAUUUCACUUAUAGAGGCUCUGCAGUACUUAUUUUAGGACUUAAUUAUGUAUGUUUGACAUUUAUAUCUGAUAAAUAUUAUUAAGUAGGAUGAUGGUAUUGUUGGGUUAAAAUAUGUUUUAUUAAAUUAUUGAUUAGUCACGCUUGCUAUCGAUCUCAGUGACUUUAUGCAUACUUAUUCUCUAGUGCCGAUCACGGAUUCAUAGAUCGGAUCAUAUGACAGUUGCUUUGUCCACAGCUAAGGCAUAAUACAUCUCAGCAGGGAACUAUGUUGCUUAAAACUUAUGGAUAAGGAAACAAUUAGAAGACUAUGAACUGUUUCACAAACAUAUACCAAUUCAAUGUGACAACACCAAUGCCAAUCAACCUCUCGUAAAAUCUUGUAUAACAUUCAAGAACCAAUCAUAUUGAAGUAAGAUAUCACUUCAUCAGAGAUCAUGUUUGUAAUACUCAGAAUUUUUUUUAUUUAAUAAUGAUUAUAUUAAUAAUAAUUAAUAAAUAAAUUUUAUUUAAAUUAAUUUACUUUAUUUUUAUUUGGUUUAAUUUGGAAUGAUUUAAUGGAAAUUUUAAUGCUAGACAAAUAAAGGAGUUAUUUUCUAUAUCCAAUUAGUUUGAUUUUUAAAAAAUUAAUUAAUUAAAUUAUUUGAGAAAUAAAUUAUAUUUUGGUUAUUCAAAUUUUUUCUCCAAAUGAAUAUAUAUAAAUUAAAUUUUAUAUUUGAGAAUUAUGGAAGAAUUUGUAAGGGAUAUUUUAUAAAAGAAUUAUUUAGAAAAAUGGCAUUUUAAUUAGCUAAUGGUGUUAAAUUUUAAUUAAAAAAUAUUUAGCAAAUUGGUUAACUAAAUUAAUUGUGUGUUAGGACUAAAUUGAAAAUUUAUUUUAUAAUAAAGAAUAAAAGUAUAAUUUUAUUAAUAUGUGGUUUUAAUAAAAAUUUGUAUGUUUGUAAUUUUUGUAAUUAAAUAUGUUGGCAAGGGCUUUCUGAUAAUUUUAAUUUAAAAGCAAGGGUAAAUAUGUAAUUGUGUAUUUUCAAUAAUUCUAAUUUGGCUCAAAUUAAAUAGUUAGGGGCUUAAUGGAAAAACUAAAAAAAUAUUUAAGGGUUAAUUGAAAUUGUUUAGGAUGAGAUUGUUAGUAAUUAAAAAGUUGAGGAACUAAAUGGUAAAAAAUAAAAGUUUAGGGACCUAUUGUCGACAAUCGUUGAAAGAAAAGAAAAGAAGAAAAGGAGAAAGAGAGGAAGUCGACGUCGGGGGGGGGGGGGGGGAGAAGGAAGAAGCUCGCUACUGUCCAUGGCAGCCGGAGGAAGAGUCCGUCCGAGGCGUCGCGGAGCCAGCUGGCGGAAGAGCCGACGCCGGCGAGUCCAGCGGCGGCGGCAGUGUAAAAAGAAAGGGGGAGGGGGGAAGUUGAGGCGGCUGUUCGGCGCCAUUAGUGGCGUGUCCGUCGGCGCCAAGGAUGGCGAUCGGCUUGUCGGAGAGCGAGCUUUCUUUUGGCGGCAGCGGCGACGCUUCUGGUGGCCGGAAUUAGGAGAUCCGAUGGAGAGAGAAAGAAGGGGCAGCCGAUGUUCUCUGGUUUUUCCGGCGAGGGAUGGAUGAUCGAAGGACGUAUCCAGACUCUUCUCAGCUCAAGCUUCGCAAUGACACUAGUUUCGUGGUGAUCAGACUCCGUUUGCAAAUCGACGGCCUAGAUCGUUUAUAAAUGUCUCCAAUUGAUCGGGGGUCGGAUCGGAAAAUCAGAAGUAGUGAUCGUCAUCAGCGCGUCAGCUCAAGUCCGUUGGUGUGUUCGGAUCGUCGAUCGAACUCCGGCGGCUGGAGGCGAGUCGACCGAGCUAUCAAGCGUCUCGGUAAUUUUCUCCGGCCUGCUGAUUUUAGAAUUAUUUAGUAAGUUAUAUGUUUAUUGAAUUGUGUUGAGCAUUAUCGAUAUUGUGUGUUAAAAUAUUUUAUUUGCCGGAUUGUCUGCCUUAGAUCGUGUUUUAUGANNNGAUCGUGUUUUAUGAUGUGUGGCGGAGUUGGAAAAUAGUGAAGUCUUGGGGACCCGACUCCCGUUAAAAUGAAUUGUUAAAUAUUUGAAGUGUUUUCUGGCAGGUCCUAGACCCGUUUUACGGGGGGUAAAUGUUCGUAUUAUAGGUGAGGUUCUGCCGAAUUUUCGUUAGAAUUUACCCGAGUCGAGAUUUUUAGACAGUCACUCCUAGGAAUCUAGACCUAGGGUUAAUUGUCAACUGCUUCAGCAUUAUUAAUAAAUUGUUUUUCGUGAUUAUAUAAAUCUGUCAGUUCGGCUCGCUCCACCCGAGGCAUCGGAGUAGAGCUAGGAGGUCGUCAAAGCUGUGAGUUAAAGUCAUGUAUGCUCUUUGAUUACUAUUCAUAUAUAUCAUGUUUUUCAUCACUAAAUUUAUUAUUGCCUGAUGACUCGAGAUGGAACGAUAGUAGAACAUACUAUUUUGAUGAGUGCAUCGGUAUAAAUCCGAGAGGAAUAGAAAAGGGGUAAACUAGUAAAUUUUAAAAAGGUAAGUUUAGGACUUGCCCUGGUCGAGCAUUGCUUUCUGGGCUGAGUAGAGUGAGUGUGCCGGAGUAAAGGACCCUAGUCGAGCAUUGCUCUCUGGGCGCCGGCUUAUUUGGAAACCUAAGUGACUAGACUGGAGUUAAGGACACUGGUCGAGCUUCGCUCUCUGGGCGCCAGUCUUAUUGGAGUAAGAGAGCCGAAAGGCUAAGAGUGUUAGUGAUAAUUAAGUGUCUGAACUGGAUUUAAGGACCCUGGUUGAGCCUCGCUCUCUGGGCGCUAGUUCUGUUAGAAUGAGAGAGAGUCGAGAUGUUCAGUAUUGGGAUUAGGGUUCUGCUGAGGUACUCCGUUCCGUAGUGUGUGAAAAUUAUUUUACAUAAGCAUGACAUGAACACAUUUAUUUUUGCAUGACUUAUUAUUUAUUUCAAAUUAAAUAAAUAUGUUAUGGAAAUGUUGUAAAUGCUUUUGGAUAUAUGAUUUUAACUCACUCUCGAGACUGACAGUCUCAAUUUUACUGUUUUUCAGAUCCGUAAUUGUUAGUCUUCCCGCGGCUCUUAUCUAGCAACCCGACUCCUUCAUCAUCAGGUGAUGUAAUUGAUUUGGUAUGUUAAAUUGUAAAAUCUUAGAUUCUCCAUAAUAAAAGUAAUAGACUUAUUAGUUGUAAUUUUAUGCAGUUUUGAGUAUCGCCUAAUUCUUCUGGCAGACCAAAUUAAAUAUGUAGAAUUUAAUGAUUAAGAAAUUGUGACAUCAGUAAUAUGAGAUGAAAUUUAAUUAAGUUAAUGAGUGUCAGGUUUACUACGGG